AUACGGAGGGUCCAAGCGUUAUCCGGAUUCAUUGGGUUUAAAGGGUUCGUAGGCGGGUCAAUAAGUCAGAGGUGAAAUCUUGCAGCUUAACUGUAAAAUUGCCUUUGAAACUGUUGACCUUGAAUUACUGUGAAGUGGUUAGAAUAUGUAGUGUAGCGGUGAAAUGCUUAGAGAUUACAUAGAAUACCGAUUGCGAAGGCAGAUCACUAACAGUAUAUUGACGCUGAUGAACGAAAGCGUGGGUAGCGAACGGGAUUAGAUACCCUAGUAGUCC
rnacentral:rRNA from 1 species